GCCACGGCCCAGGGCCAGCACUUCGGCGAGGACACGGAAAGGCCCUCUGCAGCUCAUCUCGUCCCAGACAUGGCCAGGGACCCCUCUGAGAGCAAGAAGCCGGGGAAGGAAGGGACCUGCUACAGGACAGGUGGCAGGCUUCACUGGAGAUUUACGGACUGGAGGAUCUCGCCCCUUCCCAGGAUAGAAGACAGGUUCCGUCACCAACCACGUCUGACCAGCAACGGCUGCCUGAAGGGGCGUCAGAAAGGGCUCUGAGGAUAUCCAGGCACGGCAGGUGCUUGGUGAUGCUGGCCUGGGAGCAAGAGCUGGCGUAGCUGCCCUGCAUGUUGUGCCCUUAAUGCCUCUGAUCUAGUCUAAGCCCCUCAUUAAAAUUAAUCCAAAGUAGAUUUUUAAAAAUUG